AUUGAACGCUGGCGGCAUGCCUUACACAUGCAAGUCGAACGGUAACAGGUCUUCGGAUGCUGACGAGUGGCGAACGGGUGAGUAAUACAUCGGAACGUGCCCGAUCGUGGGGGAUAACGAAGCGAAAGCUUUGCUAAUACCGCAUACGAUCUACGGAUGAAAGCAGGGGACCGCAAGGCCUUGCGCGAACGGAGCGGCCGAUGGCAGAUUAGGUGGUUGGUGGGAUAAAAGCUUACCAAGCCGACGAUCUGUAGCUGGUCUGAGAGGACGACAAGCCACACUGGGACUGAGACACGGCCCAGACUCCUACGGGAGGCAGCAGUGGGGAAUUUUGGACAAUGGGCGAAAGCCUGAUCCAGCCAUGCCGCGUGCAGGAUGAAGGCCUUCGGGUUGUAAACUGCUUUUGUACGGAACGAAAAGACUCUGGUUAAUACCUGGGGUCCAUGACGGUACCGUAAGAAUAAGCACCGGCUAACUACGUG
rnacentral:rRNA from 1 species